rnacentral:rRNA from 1 species
GAUCCUGGCUUAGGACGAACGCUGGCGGCGUGCCUAAUACAUGCAAGUCGAACGGCUUUUCUAUGGAAGCUUGCUUCCACUGAGAAGAUAGUGGCGAACGGGUGAGUAACACGUGGGUAACCUGCCCAUAAGAGGGGGAUAACAUCCGGAAACGGGUGCUAAUACCGCAUAGUUUUCUUGGUCGCAUGAUCGGGAAAGGAAAGACGGCCUUUGUGCUGUCGCUUAUGGAUGGACCCGCGGCGUAUUAGUUAGUUGGUGAGGUAACGGCUCACCAAGACGAUGAUACGUAGCCGACCUGAGAGGGUGAUCGGCCACAUUGGGACUGAGACACGGCCCAAACUCCUACGGGAGGCAGCAGUAGGGAAUCUUCCGCAAUGGACGAAAGUCUGACGGAGCAACGCCGCGUGAGUGAAGAAAAGGUUUUCGGAUCGUAAAACUCUGUUGUCAGAGAAGAACAAGUUGGAGAGUAACUGCUCCAGCCUUGACGGUAUCUGACCAGAAAGCCACGGCUAACUACGUGCCAGCCGCCGC